CCCCAGGGAAGAGAGAGGGGACUCCUCUUACGAGAUAACUGCACCCCAAAACUGAACACACCCCAGGGAGGAGUAAGGGGACCCCUCCAACCAGAGAACUGCACCUCAAAACUGGACUCCUCGGACCAGAGAGAGGGGACCCCUCUGCUCAGACAACUGCACCCCAAAAGUGGACUCCCCUCAGGGAGGAGAAAGGGGAACCCUCUAACCAGAUAACUGCACCCCAAAACUAAACUUACCCGGACGAGAACGAGGGAACCCCUCUCACCAGACACAUGCACCCUAAAACUGGACUCUGUCUGACCUGACACCCACAAACCACAGUCAGUGUAUGCUUGUAAAAGUAAAUAUUUUAUUUCUACAUCCAUAAUAAACAUCAGCCCCCUCCUAGCAAC